CAACUUCAGAGAAUUAAACUAACUAAAACAUAUAUAAUCUUUUGUUUAUUAGGGUGGAAUAAUAGGAAAAUUGCGUAUAAGAAAUCAACCACUUUUACAUAGAAAGAAUGAAAAUAUACUAACUUCCUCAAGCGCACGCAAAACUGUCUUCAGAAAUUUGCACGUUUAUGACCUGUUGUCAAGUGACCUUUUGUUGAAUAUCUUGCAGGAUUAUUUAGGAAAUAAGAGGCUGCAACUGUCUGGUGAACUAGUAUCCCUGCUCUUCGAGGAUCUGUUCAAAAGAAUGAAUUUGUUGGCUAUGGAUAUUAUGGGCAAAACUAUGAGCAACAAUACAAGUGAAGAUCGUGACGGAGUCCUGAAUUUUAAGCAGAUAAUAGAGAGGGCUUCUAACAUAACCUCUGGUAUGGAGUUGGCCAUUAACACAGGAAAUUGGAACACAGGACAAUUUGGUAUGAGUAGAAAAGGUGUAUCACAGGUAUCUGGGUUCCGCCCCCCCUUCUCUAAUCUAUAGAUAUUUUGGGAUUUAAGUUUUUCUUUUGCUUCUAUAUAGACGCUUUCUAGGCUAUCCUAUAUGGCAUCUUUAGGCUACAUGACACGCAUAUCACAAGAAUUAGAGAAGACCCGGAAAACAAAUGG